rnacentral:rRNA from 1 species
UUAAAUUGAAGAGUUUGAUCAUGGCUCAGAUUGAACGCUGGCGGCAGGCCUAACACAUGCAAGUCGAACGGUAACAGGAAGCAGCUUGCUGCUUUGCUGACGAGUGGCGGACGGGUGAGUAAUGUCUGGGAAACUGCCUGAUGGAGGGGGAUAACUACUGGAAACGGUAGCUAAUACCGCAUAAUGUCGCAAGACCAAAGAGGGGGACCUUCGGGCCUCUUGCCAUCGGAUGUGCCCAGAUGGGAUUAGCUAGUAGGUGGGGUAAA